rnacentral:rRNA from 1 species
AGUUUGAUCCUGGCUCAGGAUGAACGCUAGCUACAGGCUUAACACAUGCAAGUCGAGGGGAAACGACAUCGAAAGCUUGCUUUUGAUGGGCGUCGACCGGCGCACGGGUGAGUAACGCGUAUCCAACCUGCCCAUCACUUGGGGAUAACCUUGCGAAAGUAAGACUAAUACCCAAUGACGUCUCUAGAAGACAUCUGAAGGAGAUUAAAGAUUUAUCGGUGAUGGAUGGGGAUGCGUCUGAUUAGCUUGUUGGCGGGGUAACGGCCCACCAAGGCGACGAUCAGUAGGGGUUCUGAGAGGAAGGUCCCCCACAUUGGAACUGAGACACGGUCCAAACUCCUACGGGAGGCAGCAGUGAGGAAUAUUGGUCAAUGGGCGAGAGCCUGAACCAGCCAAGUAGCGUGCAGGAUGACGGCCCUAUGGGUUGUAAACUGCUUUUAUAAGGGAAUAAAGUGAGUCUCGUGAGACUUUUUGCAUGUACCUUAUGAAUAAGGACCGGCUAAUUCCGUGCCAGCAGCCGCGGUAAUACGGAAGGUCCGGGCGUUAUCCGGAUUUAUUGGGUUUAAAGGGAGCGUAGGCCGGAGAUUAAGCGUGUUGUGAAAUGUAGACGCUCAACGUCUGCACUGCAGCGCGAACUGGUUUCCUUGAGUACGCACAAAGUGGGCGGAAUUCGUGGUGUAGCGGUGAAAUGCUUAGAUAUCACGAAGAACUCCGAUUGCGAAGGCAGCUCACUGGAGCGCAACUGACGCUGAAGCUCGAAAGUGCGGGUAUCGAACAGGAUUAGAUACCCUGGUAGUCCGCACGGUAAACGAUGGAUGCCCGCUGUUGGUCUGAAUAGGUCAGCGGCC